UUAGAUUACCGGAGGUAAAGCACUGAAUGGGCUAGGGGGCGAUAAGCUUACUGAACCCUAUCAAACUCUGAAUGCCGGCUAAUUGAUGAUCAGCAGUCAGACAGUGUGAGAUAAGUUUCAUUGUCAAAAGGGAAACAGCCCAGACCUACAGCUAAGGUCCCAAAUGUAUGCUAAGUGGAAAACGAUGUGGAGUUGCGAAAACAACCAGGAUGUUGGCUUAGAAGCAGCCAUUCAUUAAAAGAGUUCGUAAUAGAUCACUGGUCGAGUGACUCUGCGCGGAAAAUAUAACGGGGCUAAGUAUGCAACCGAAGCUUAGGAUGUCCGCAAGGGCGUGGUAGGGGAGCGUCGUGUACGGGGUGAAGUCGCAGCGGAAGCAGCGGUGGACUGUACAGGAGUGAGAAUGCCGGAAUGAGUAGCGAGAAUUAUGUGGGAAUCAUAAUGGCCGAAAAUCUAAGGUUUCUUGGGGAAGGUUCGUCCGCCCAAGGUAAGCCGGGAGCUAAGGCGAGGCCGCGAGGCGUAGUCGAUGCACAUACGGUAGAAAUUCCGUAGCCACCGAACUUUAAACCAGAAGGACACUUUCAGAUAGCGGGACCCAGCCGUUGGUAGAGCUGGGCGCAAGGGACCGAAAUAUAGUAGGGAAGUCCGCGAUGCUGGGAGGCGAGAAAAGCUCUGGUGAAUACUAAGGUGCCCGUACCGCAAACCGACACAGGUAGAUGAGGAGAGAAUCCUAAGGCCAACGGGAGAAGGGUUGUUAAGGAACUCGGCAAAUUGACCCCGUAACUUCGGAAGAAGGGGAGCCUCGAAAGAGGCCGCAGUGAAUAGGCCCAAGCAACUGUUUACCAAAAACACAGGUCUAUGCUAAAUCGAAAGAUGACGUAUAUGGGCUGACGCCUGCCCGGUGCCGGAAGGUUAAGAGGAGAUGUCAGGCAACGAAGCAUUGAAUUUAAGCCCCGGUAAACGGCGGCCGUAACUAUAACGGUCCUAAGGUAGCGAAAUUCCUUGUCAGGUAAGUUCUGACCCGCACGAAUGGCGUAAUGAUUUGGGCACUGUCUCAACAGCCCGCCCGGCGAAAUUGUAGUACUGGUGAAGAUGCCAGUUACCCGCAACUAGACGGAAAGACCCCAUGGAGCUUUACUGCAGCUUAAUACUGAAAUUCGGUAGUACAUGUACAGGAUAGGUGGGAGACUGAGAAAUACAGGCGUCAGCUUGUAUGGAGUCGCUGUUGGGAUACCACUCUUGUACUGCUGGGUUUCUAACCUGCGGCCGUGAAUCCGGUCGGGGGACACUGUUAGGCGGGCAGUUUGACUGGGGCGGUCGCCUCCAAAAGAGUAACGGAGGCGCUCAAAGGUUCGUUCAGCACGGACGGAAAUCGUGCAUUGAGUG
rnacentral:rRNA from 1 species